GGCCUCGUGCGUGCGCACGCGCGCCGUCCCCCGGAGGCGUCUGGGUGUGCGGAGCGCGCGCGCGCGGCUCGGAGGCGCACCUGUGAGGUGUCCCCGGAGGAACGGCGGGUGGGCGCGCGGAGCCCGCGGCCUGGGGCGCUCGCAGCCCGCACUUGGACGCGCAGGCCGCGGAGCAUCGCGCUCAGGUGAUGAAGAGCGCGUCGCGCACCCGGCGCAGGAGCCAGCCGCCGCCGGACGCCUCCAUUGUUUGACCACGCCAGGCCGGCCCUGCCCAGCAGGAUCCUCAGGCUGGAGGAAGUCACCUGCUCUUGCACCCUGCAGCCACUGUGGGCCCUGCCUCUGCCUCCUCUUCUGGAAUGUCUUGAGGGUUCUGAUUCCUGUCACUGUGUAUUUCCCUUGGUGCUAUGCAGAUAGUUACAGUGAGCAGUUGUAACGGAUGAUGAACUUGAUUUAGAACGGAGCAUGAUAUCUACAAAUUCUCUU